rnacentral:misc_RNA from 1 species
GAUGAAGAACGUAGCGAAAUGCGAUAAGUAGUGUGAAUUGCAGAAUUCAGUGAAUCAUCGAAUCUUUGAACGCACAUUGCGCCCCUUGGUAUCCCGAGGGGCAUGCCUGUUCGAGCGCCAUUUCACCACUCAAGCCUGGCUUGGUGUUGGGCGACGUCCCCUUUGGGGACGCGCCUCGAAACGCUCGGCGGCGUGGCACCGGCUUUAAGCGUAGCAGAAUCUUUCGCUUUGGAAGUCGGGGCCCCGUCUGCCGGAAGACCUACUCGCAAGGUUGACCUCGGAUCAGGCAGGGAUACCCGCUGAACUUAAGCAUAUCAAUAAGCGGAGGA